CUCAUUUCAAUUCAUUUCUUCCCAAUUUUCUCUCUUGUUCCUCCUACUUCUAAAAAUAUAACUUUGAUUAUUUUUCUUUUUUUAUAUGAAUUUAUUUUUAUAUAUAAAGUGUAAAAAAAUGCUACUAUGAUUUUGAGUAAUAAUUCAAUUUUCUCAUUAUAUUUUUCCAUCAAAUCCACAAGUAUUGUCUUUUUUUUCUUCCUUUUUAUCCUUUUCUCUCCUUCUUAUAGUUUAUAUCAUCAUAAACAUAAACUCCAAGAUUCUACUAAGGGUUUGUUAAUGGAAGAGAAAACAAGGUUGGGAUCGAUGCCACCAAGUUGUUACAACAAGUGUAACCAAUGCCACCCAUGCAUGGCGGCACAAGUUCCAACGACACCGAGUCGUCGCCAAGAUGGACCGAGUCCGAGUCGAGGUAAAAAUAUAGCUAUGGAAUAUUUUGACUCACCAUCACCAUCAACCGGAGCUAAUAGAUACUCGAAUUAUAAGCCACUUGAAUGGAAAUGUAAAUGCGAAGACCACUUGUAUAAUCCUUAGUUAGGUCAUAAUUGUAUCGUUCAGAUUAAUUUGUGAAUUUUGAUUUAUAUUUUUUUUGAUUAAUCGUUUGAUUUAUAUUUAACAUGUGGAUUGUAUGUAUGUAUGUAUAUAUUUUUUGAAUUUAUUUUUGAAGGAAUUUUGGUGUCAAUAAAUUUGGUCCCAUGUGA